GCCUGUUCAUUGGAUGGUCGAAUCUCGCGUUCGGCCAUCUCGCGUUCGGUUCCCUGUGUUGCAUACCUGUUGCGACGGUAUCUUGUUGCCUAGAAUGACCCCGUUUCACCCUACGUUGCGAGUAACGUCGCGGCCGAAGGUGAACCAAUAAGCAUUCAUCGUGUUCCACCCCGUUCACAUUACGUGUUGCGGGACUCGGCCCACGAUGGCGUGCUCGAGCUCUCGGGUGCGGAAUACAAAGUGGGUACGAGGAUGUCGAUCCUCYGUUUACCCCGAACAAGCGUUCUACGCUCUCGCGAACGACGUUCUUCCUCGU
rnacentral:misc_RNA from 1 species